rnacentral:rRNA from 1 species
CUACGGGUCGCUGCAGUGAGGAAUAUUGCACAAUGGGGGGAACCCUGAUGCAGCAACGCCGCGUGGAGGAUGACGCAUUUCGGUGUGUAAACUCCUUUUAUAUGUCAAGAAAAUGACGGUAGCAUAUGAAUAAGCACCGGCUAACUCCGUGCCAGCAGCCGCGGUAAUACGGAGGGUGCAAGCGUUACUCGGAAUCACUGGGCGUAAAGGACGCGUAGGCGGGCUGGGAAGUCAGGUGUGAAAUCCUACAGCUUAACUGUAGAACUGCACUUGAAACUUCUAAUCUAGAGUAUGGGAGGGGGAGAUGGAAUUCGUGGUGUAGGGGUAAAAUCCGUAGAUAUCACUAGGAAUACCUAAAGCGAAGGCGAUCUCCUGGAACAUUACUGACGCUAAGGCGUGAAAGCGUGGGGAGCAAACAGGAUUAGAUACCCGGGUAGUC